GCACCCGUAGCUCAGAUGGAUAGAGCUCCUGUUUCGCAAACUGAAGGUCGCAGGUUCGAGUCCUGCCGGGUGCA
rnacentral:tRNA from 1 species